UACGGAGGGGGCGAGCGUUGUCCGGAUUUAUUGGGCGUAAAGAGCUCGUAGGCGGUUUGGUAAGUUGGAUGUGAAAUCUCCAGGCUCAACUUGGAGGGGUCAUUCGAUACUGCCAUGACUAGAGUUCGGUAGGGGAGUGUGGAAUUCCUGGUGUAGCGGUGAAAUGCGCAGAUAUCAGGAGGAACACCAAUGGCGAAGGCAGCUCUCUGGUACGUGACUGACACUGAGACGCGAAAGCGUGGGGAGCGAACAGG
rnacentral:rRNA from 1 species